AGAAUGAAAUAUGAGUUACACCUCUAAUUUUUUGAAAACUAGCAAAAACACCAACCUUGAUUACUUUACUUAAAACAUACAACUGAAUAUGCUCUGAAAGAGUAAUAUCUCGCAAUGAAUAGUCACAUUAUAUCAUAAACUUAAAUAUCAAAGAGAGAAUAUUUUUAUUUAGUUAAUUGUUUAUUACAAUAUAGUACAAUAAAUAAAAAAUAUUCCACUAAUUCAAAUGUCAAGAUUAAAUUACAAGCUUUUCUCAGGUUAUAAUACAUUAUUACUAUCCAUUCCGAAUAAGUUACAUGUAGUUCCAAUUUCAUGUAUACAUCUAAUAUGUAAUGAGUUCUUUUGAUGGCUACAUAUAACAAGAACAAUUUACUUAAUAAUAUAACACUUGACAUGAUUAAAGUGAAAAUCAAUUUAAGCAUGUUGAGUUAACACCCAACAAUAUAUAAAUUCUGCACUUUCUUUUUGAAUUCCUUGAAAAGUGAUCACUUAUCACGCUUAAAACUCUUGCUCUAUGAUUAGUCCGUGAACAAAACUAAUUGAUAAGGAGAUAAUGAGGUCCUUUUCUAUUGAAAAAAAAUUAGGGCAAAAUUUGAAUAUAAAUAGAUAAAUGCAACAAUCAAAAAGCGAGACGGAAAAAAGUGAAAACAAGUUUUGAGAUGUUUUUCAAAUUCCAAAUAUAACUUGAAUAUGAAAUUGUAACAGUGCUAAAUACUAAUUUUCAAAUAAAAUUAGAAUAAAUAAUUUUUCGCAUUAAUUAGUGUAACUUGGUACUUUAAUAUGUCAAUUAAUUAAGGUUUUACAUAUGAAGCUUUCUGAACUUAUUUUUUACGAUACCUUAAAAAAGAUAAGAUAAAAUAAGUUGAAUAUGUCGUCUGAAUUUUUGUAGAGGGAUUGCACCAUUAGUGAAUUUAGAUAGUAUGUUGCCAUGAAUAGAUUGAAUAUGUUAAAAAUAAAUAUUCUAAACUAGUACCAUUUUGCAAUUUUCAUACUUAGAUUGAAAAAUCCUUCAUUGAAUAUGUGAAAAUAUUUGAAAUACCUUGUUGAGAGACAUGUGGAAAAUGAAAAAAGUCUUAACAAUGAAUUCACCUAACACAACAAGAUCAUGGUGGUUCACAGAAUUCUAUAAAUAUCUAAUAAUUUAUGUAAUUAUGUAUGAAACUCACAAAACAAUGGUAGUUUGAAAGAGUUCUAAACUAUUAACUCAGAAAAAACUUCAUGUGUAUUGCCACUUGAUACUCUUUGGAGAAGCUUUUGAACAGUGAUCUGCACCUAGCAUGUCAUUUUCCUCUAAGGAAUAUUUUAUUACGAAUUUAUGCUAAUUAAGGGGUGUUCUGUAAAUACCUAAUAAUUUAGAUAUGAAACUUACCAAAUAGUGCUAGAUGAGCGAGCUUACAAUGCUCAGCAAUACAUAUGUAAGUAAAUGGAUACAAAUCUGUUAAAGAGAAUAGACUUAAGACUUACAAAAUUACUAAACAAAAGUAGGAGUGCAAGAAAGUAAGCAAAAUUUUUGAAUCUAGUUGUCUUAAAUUAAAGAUAUGUCAAAUGUAUUAAGAUUUUAGAUGCACUUUAAUAUUGAGGUCUUCAACAUGUCAGGUGGAACGUUCAAAUUAAAUAGUUGCUAAAAAAGGAAAGAGUCAUUCUUUUUUAAGAGAACUAAAAAAAAUAGGCCAAAUAAAUUGAAUGUAGAGAGUAUGUUUCAUAUACACAACUUUACACACUGUACUGAACCUUUUAACUCAUAAAGCAAUACAUUCUUAAAUUUGUCAAAUUGCAAGAGAUCUCACCUCAUCCACUUUCCAGAGGUCUUCUUCACACUUAUACAUAUGUUUCAUAUACACAAGUUUACACAUUUUACUGGAUCUUUAACUCAUGAAGCAGUACAUUCUUAAGGUUGUCAAAUUGCAAGAGAUCUCACCUCAUCCACUUUCCAGAGGUCUUCUUCACACUUAUACAUAUGUUUCAUAUACACAAGUUUACACAUUUUACUGGAUCUUUAACUCAUGAAGCAGUACAUUCUUAAGGUUGUCAAAUUGCAAGAGAUCUCACCUCAUCCACUUUUUAGAGGUCUUAUUCAUUCUCAUACCACCUCAUCAGCCCUUCAUCAUUUAGGGGUCGUUUGGUAGGCGGCAUUAGAAGAAAUAGUCCAUGUAUUAUGUAAGGUAUUAUUUAGUACUAUGUUUGGUAGGAAUCUAUGUAUAACUAAUCCAUGGAUUAGUUAAACCUCCUACAUGGUAUUAUAGGAAUUAUUACUAAUACCUUCCAUUUGGAGGUAUUAGUAAUACAUAGGAUAUAAUACCAUGGGAUAAGUCUAUGUAAAGACAAAAAUAUCCCUCAAAUCAUUUUAAUUAUUUUGUUUAUUUUCUUGAUUUUAUGAUUUAUAUUAGUGCUAGUAAAUUUAUUUAAAUAAAUUAGCUUACAAAUUAUUUAGGGAGAGUUGUUUAUUACUAAAUAAAUCUAAUACAAAUUUGAAAUGUGAGUUGUUUAUUUGUAUAUAACGUUUGUGAUCUUAAUUGAAUGUGUGUAUAUAUGUAUGUAUAUAUAUAUAAAUAUACACACAUUUGUGUGGUUUUCUAAUUAUUUUAUUUUGAACAAUUUAAAAAAUCACAUACAUAUUAAAACUACAACUUGCAAUUUUUAUGUGUAAAUUUAGAUGGUUUAUUUAAUUUUACCAUUUUGACCGUCUUUUCAAUUUUAAAAGUAGACUAUUUAUCUUUUUUAAAUUGAAAAAUUACAUUAUGUGAGUAAUCAAUUUAUUAAGAGGUCAAUUAUUUAUCCUCAAAUAAUUCAAGUGAAAAAAUAGCAAACAUGACAACAAAAUUUUUCUUCUCAUAGCUAGUUAGAAGGCCAUAAAAAUAAUAAUAUUAUCUGGUAGUAAUCUAUCUUGACUCAAUUACAUAAUAAUUCAAGGGUAUAAUUGGAAAAAAGUUUUUU
rnacentral:lncRNA from 1 species